AGGACGAACGCUGGCGGCGUGCUUAACACAUGCAAGUCGAGCGGUAAGGCCUUUCGGGGUACACGAGCGGCGAACGGGUGAGUAACACGUGGGUGAUCUGCCCUGCACUCUGGGAUAAGCCUGGGAAACUGGGUCUAAUACCGGAUAUGACCUGCUCUCGCAUGGGGGUGGGUGGAAAGAUUUAUCGGUGCAGGAUGGGCCCGCGGCCUAUCAGCUUGUUGGUGGGGUAAUGGCCUACCAAGGCGACGACGGGUAGCCGACCUGAGAGGGUGACCGGCCACGACUGGGACUGAGACACGGCCCAGACUCCUACGGGAGGCAGCAGUGGGAAUAUGCACAAUGGGACAAAGCCUGAUGCAGCGACGCCGCGUGAGGAUGAA
rnacentral:rRNA from 1 species